rnacentral:lncRNA from 1 species
UUUGAUUAUUAAAUCUUCAAUUGCAGCUAACCAUAUCUUGUCCUUACUAGCUGACCAGUUAAGUAUGCGAGGGAAUGAAUUAGCAACUCUUAUAGCCAUAUCAGUUUUGAUAGUAGAGCAACACUCAUACAACCAUAUUUUCAUAGCUAGUGCGAAUCCUCGAAUGAGAUAAGAAUGAACAAAAGGAUUGAACCUGUGCCUAGCUGAUUCAAUCAACUGUUUGUAAGACUCAAUACCCCAUGCAUAUGUUGCAUGCUAUCCAGAGUCCACCAAAUAAAAACUCAAAUAAUCUACCAAUCCAACAUUGUCUUUAUCUGAAGGAUAGAUAAAGAACUCUAUGAGAUACAGAAUACAUAACUUGACUGCGUCCUCAUCAUUUACCCAACUUUUAUUGGUUACAAUCUAUUUUAGGUAUGACUUCUUCACUUUUUCCUUGUUUGGAAAAUAACUCCUCAUUAUCUUACUGUCAUAAUCCGGAGUGUAACCAAAG